GACCACUGCUGUGGAUCAUAGCAGAGAUAUAUGUAGUCACUCUUUAGCAGCUCCAUUCUUUACUCUUUCAAACUUUCCAAGGGGAUUUUAGAAAUAGGAGUCAUCAUUGAAGAGAAUGAAAUUCUAUGAACUGCAUUUUCACAGCCAGAAAAUGAGUUACAACAAUAGUUUCUACAUUUUGCUAAGCUUUGAAACUAUUCAACAUGAUCUGCUGGUGGUACAGCAUUUGGUUUUCUACAUUCUAAAUGAUGCUACUGAAGGGUGACUCAUGAGAUGCGUGAUCUGUGCUCUAGCUUCCAAUUAAUAUCCAGGGAGGCCAGGAAGACCAUCAAAUCCUCUGUCACCCUUGGAAAGAAGAAAUCACAGCUUCAGUAAAUGACCAUUACAUUCUGUAUUACUCUGAGUAAAUUGUGCCUUCUCUCUCUGUUAAUUUGGAGUUAUGGUACACUUCUAUUAUUGAAUGACAUACAUGGAGGGGAGGGAGCACAUUGAUCAAACUCACUAAUU